UAUAAUAUCUGAUGCGUUCCAAAGACAGCAGGUGGCGCAAGCCGUAAGUCCUGCCGAGGAUGGCAAAUCGAUUUUGAUUGCUUACACCGUCCUUGUGUCCUUGGAUACAGGGACGGUUUCCUUUUUUUGAA
rfam:Firmicutes bacterium CAG:83 genomic scaffold, scf121